rnacentral:lncRNA from 1 species
AUGGUUCCUGCUGCACUCAGCAGGCAGGCCGUUAAGCAGGGAGCUCCUAGCGGAUGGAAGAUAGAUAAGGACUUAACUUCCAGCCCAUCUACAAGCCCACUUUCUCCUCCUUCCCCACCGGCGCCACUCAUCCCCACUCCCUCGUCCACCACCCCGGCAACUAACCGGUAGCUGCCGCACCAGCCGCCCACUAUUCACCACUGCCCUUCGCCACAUCCUUCCUAACCAAAUGCUUCUUGCUGCCCCGCUGCUAGUCACGAGCCACCGGGCAUCCUACCCUGCCCGACCAGCGACGCUCUCGCGCCAUCUCGCCUCCGCCGUCGGUCAAACCACGGCCACCGCCAAACCUGUAGUCGCCCCCAACCUCCUCCCUCCUCUAGAUACGCUGGACAUUGGAGCUCCCCAGAAAUCCGGUACCCUUACAUAACUCCGCUGGCCGCCAUCGCCUCCCACCGGCCUCGAUCACCA